UCGAGAAUCUUUCGCAAUGGGGGAAACCCUGACGACGCGACGCCGCGUGGAGGAUGAAGGCCUUCGGGUUGUAAACUCCUGUCAGCAGGGGAGAACAAGCUUUCGAUGAAUAAUUGAGAGCUUUGACAGUACCUGCAGAGGAAGCCACGGCUAACUCUGUGCCAGCAGCCGCGGUAAUACAGAGGUGGCAAGCGUUGUUCGGAUUUAUUGGGCGUAAAGGGUCCGUAGGCGGCCUGACAAGUUGGAUGUGAAAUCCCACAGCUUAACGGUGGAACUGCAUUCAAAACUUUCGGGCUCGAGUGUGAGAGGGGUAAUGGGAAUUCCCGGUGUAAGGGUGAAAUCUGCAGAGAUCGGGAGGAACACCAGUCGCGAAGGCGCAUUACUGGAUCACUACUGACGCUGAGGGACGAAAGCCAGGGGAGCAAACG
rnacentral:rRNA from 1 species